AACUGACCCAGCAUUGAACAUGGCCUAGGUAUUGACAUACAACUGACCCAGCUUUGAACAUGGCCUAGGUAUUGACAUACAACUGACCCAGCUUUGAACAUGGCCUAGGUAUUGACAUGAUAUACAACUGACCCAGCUUUGAACAUGGCCUAGGUAUUGACAUGAUAUACAACUGACCCAGCAUUGAACAUGGCCUAGGUAUUGACAUACAACUGACCCAGCUUUGAACAUGGCCUAGGUAUUGACAUACAACUGACCCAGCUUUGAAC